rnacentral:rRNA from 1 species
CGUGCUAAUCUGCGAUAAGCGCCGGUAAGGUGAUAUGAACCGUUAUAACCGGCGAUACCCGAAUGGGGAAACCCAGUGUGACUCGUCACACUAUCAUUAACUGAAUCCAUAGGUUAAUGAGGCGAACCGGGGGAACUGAAACAUCUAAGUACCCCGAGGAAAAGAAAUCAACCGAGAUUCCCCCAGUAGCGGCGAGCGAACGGGGAGGAGCCCAGAGCCUGAAUCAGCAUGUGUGUUAGUGGAAGCGUCUGGAAAGGCGCGCGAUACAGGGUGACAGCCCCGUACACAAAAGCGCAUGUGCUGUGAGCUCGAUGAGUAGGGCGGGACACGUGGUAUCCUGUCUGAAUAUGGGGGGACCAUCCUCCAAGGCUAAAUACUCCUGACUGACCGAUAGUGAACCAGUACCGUGAGGGAAAGGCGAAAAGAACCCCGGCGAGGGGAGUGAAAAAGAACCUGAAACCGUGUACGUACAAGCAGUGGGAGCCCCAC